rnacentral:rRNA from 1 species
AUUGAACGCUGGAGGCGUGCUUAACACAUGCAAGUCGUGCGAGAAAGGGACUUCGGUCCUGAGUAGAGCGGCGCACGGGUGAGUAACGCGUGGGUGAUCUCCCUUGGUGACCGGGAUAAUAGCGGGAAACUGCUGCUAAUACCGGAUAAUCUUCAUGUUUAACUUCAUGGGGUAAAGGUGGCCUCUGCUUGCAAGCUACCACACCGAGAUGAGCCCGCGUCUCAUUAGCUAGUUGGUAGGGUAAUGGCCUACCAAGGCUACGAUGAGUAGCUGGUCUGAGAGGAUGACCAGCCACACUGGGACUGGAACACGGCCCAGACUCCUACGGGAGGCUG